AUCCCAUGAUCAGGACAAUCUUCAAUGUAAUCUUGAAAUCUUUCCCAUGCUUCAGUGAAUGAUUCAUCAUGUUGUUGUUGAAAGCUUGAAAUUUUACCACGUAGAGCAU
rnacentral:snoRNA from 1 species